GACGAACGCUGGCGGCGUGCUUAACACAUGCAAGUCGAACGGAAAGGCCUCUUUCGGGGGGUACUCGAGUGGCGAACGGGUGAGUAACACGUGAGUAACCUGCCCUUGACUUUGGGAUAACUUCAGGAAACUGGGGCUAAUACCGGAUAGGAGCUCCUGCUUCAUGGUGGGGGUUGGAAAGUUUCGGCGGUUGGGGAUGGACUCGCGGCUUAUCAGCUUGUUGGUGGGGUAGUGGCUUACCAAGGCUUUGACGGGUAGCCGGCCUGAGAGGGUGACCGGCCACAUUGGGACUGAGAGACGGCCCAGACUCCUACGGGAGGCAGCAGGGGGGAAGAUUGCACAAGGGGUGGAAGCCUGAUGCAGCAACGCCGUGUGCGGGAUGACGGCCUUCGGGUUGUAAACCGCUUUCGCUCAUGACGAAGCUUUGUGUGACGGUAGUGGGUAAAGAAGCACCGGCUAACUACGUG
rnacentral:rRNA from 1 species